rnacentral:rRNA from 1 species
UACAGAGGAGCCAAGCGUUGUCCGGAUUGACUGGGCGUAAAGCGCACGCAGGCGGUCGCGCGCGUGGGGUGUGAAAUCUGGCCGCUUAACGGCCAGGCGCCAUCCCAUACGGCGCGACUGGAGUGAUGCAGAGGUCGGUGGAAUUGCCGGUGUAGUGGUGAAAUGCGUAGAGAUCGGCAGGAACACCCAGGGGGGAAACCAGCCGACUGGGCAUCAACUGACGCUGAGGUGCGAGAGCGUGGGGAGCGAACCGG